GUGAGGGUGUAGACACAAGGGUGUAGACAUGAGGGUGUAGAUGUGAGGGUAUAGAUGUGAAGGUGUAGACGUGAGGGUGUAGACGCGAGGGUGUAGACGCGAAGGUGUAGACGCGAGGGUGUAGAUGCGAGGGUGUAGACAUGAGGGUGUACAUGUGAAGGUGUAGACGCGAAGGUGCAGAUUUGAGGAUGUAGACGCGAGGGUGUAGAUGUGAGGGUGCAGACGCGAGGGUGUAGACGUGAAGGUGUAGACGCGAAGGUGCAGAUUUGAGGAUGUAGACGCGAGGGUGUAGAUGUGAGGGUGCAGACGCGAGGGUGUAGACGUGAAGGUGUAGAUGUGAGGGUGUACAUGUGAAGGUGUAGACGCAAAGGUGCAGAUUUGAGGAUGUAGACGUGAGGGUGUAGACCUGAAGGUGUAAACGCGAGGGUGUAGAUGCGAGGGUGUAGAUGUGAAGGUGUAAACGUGAGGGUGUAGAUGCGAGGGUGUAGAUGCGAGGGUGUAGAUGCGAGGGUGUAGAUGCGAGGGUGUAGACGUGAAGGUGUAGACGUGAAGGUGUAGGUGGCUGUUACCUGGAAGCUGCUCCGACUCCAUCAGCUCUCUCGGCUCUCUCCUUCUCCCUUCUCCCGGAUCCAAAGUGUC
ensembl:lncRNA